GGGAAAAAGAAAAUUUGAGAGAAAAAAGAGAAAGGAGGAAAAGAAGAGAAUGAGGCUCAAGAGUUUAAUUUAGAAUACUUGUUAUUGUUAUUGUUAUUAUUAUUGUAAUAUUUUCAUUUAAGGAGUGACGACGACGUUAUAAGCUGCUUCGAACUUUGUGUGGAGUGAAAACUGCUAUAAUUAAAGAGAGAUUAAAGCGACAGGGAAAAAUACAUACAUGUAUAUAUUAUUUGUAUUAUAUCAUAUUAUAUAUCCAUCCCUCUCUUUAUCAAGAAUUAAAAAAAAAACGUUAAAAAUAAAAGCGUUUAAAUAGAUUUAGCCGCGAUAUAGCCAGCAGCUUAUAAAGAGAUUUAGUAAUAUAAACCCGUUUAUAAACUAAACUACCCCUUAUUUCAGUCCGUUUGCAUGGUGUUUUCAACGAGCGCCCGGGCUGGCCAGUCAAUUUACAUUUAGCCAAAGCAAGCCAGCCACUCAUUUCAGAGUCUUCGUUCAUUCAACAGCCAGCCAGCCAGCCUGUUAACUACUCAGUCAGUCAGUCAACAAAAGCGCUCUCUCCAUAUGCCAUUGUGAAUCUAUCUAUCUGUCUGUCUAUCUAUCUAUCUAUCUAUCUAUCUAUCUAUCUAUCUAUCUAUCUAUCUAUCUAUCUAUCUAUCGUUAUUUAUCCAUCACUAUUUAUCUAUUUAUCUAUCUGUCCAUCUAUAUAUUUGUUUAAAACUGUCUAUAUCCGUUUAGAAAUCUAUAUCGAUCUAUACCUAUCUAUAUUUACAUAUCUAUAUGUCUAUCUCUCAGUCUAUCUGUCCAUCCAUCCAUCCACAUAUCCAUCCAUCUAUAACUACAACAAUCUAGUUAUUUGCAUAACUAUCCUAAGUGUGUGAGUGUGUGUGUAUAUGUAUUUGUAUAGCCCGCUAGCUACUGAUAUAUCCAUCUAUCCAUCUAUCGCUCUACUUAGCUACGAAGCGACCAUUCUACUCCCACUUUUACCUUAACCAAUGUGUACUACUCUCAGUUCGCCCGACAAGUUAUAUUUCCUCAGUCUAUAAACUGACCUAUCAAUGGAAGUGUACAGUGGACGAGCUGUGAGGUUUAUGGGAAAUAUUUAUUACACCCGUUACUCUCUUCUACACGAGACAACACAGCAACUUCAUCCUCGCACAGAUUUCGAUUUCAACCAUAAUCAGUGAAACUAAAACAACAACAACAACAACAACAAACAGAGAAAGCAACACUGUAGCAACAACAACAACAGCAACAAUAACUACCAUACCAAACAGUUGGAGUUUACAGGACAGCUUCCAGGUGAACGCUACUGAGAUAUUUUAGCUGUUUCUUUACACAAAAACCAACAUUUACGUGCUUUUUUUUUUCAAAAAAAAAAAAAGAAAAGGUCUUUUAUUCGGCGUGUCGUGGGAUUUGCUUCUUAUUUUCUGUUAAAUCUACUGCUUCAUUUUAAAGAAACAAAAAAUUAUAAGCAACUUCUAAAAAAUGUAUUUCUUUUAUUGGAUAUUUCUUCCCAUCUAUGCAGGUA
rnacentral:lncRNA from 1 species